rnacentral:rRNA from 1 species
AUUGAACGCUGGCGGCAGGCUUAACACAUGCAAGUCGAGCGAGCGGCGGGCGGGUGAGUAAUGUCUGGGAAACUGCCUGAUGGAGGGGGAUAACUACUGGAAACGGUAGCUAAUACCGCAUACUAUCGGAUGAACCCAUAUGGGAUUAGCUAGUUGGUGAGGUAAUGGCUCACCAAGGCGACGAUCCCUAGCUGGUCUGAGAGGAUGAUCAGGCACACUGGGACUGAGACACGGCCCAGACUCCUACGGGAGGCAGCAGUGGGGAAUAUUGCACAAUGGGCGCAAGCCUGAUGCAGCCAUGCCGCGUGUAUGAAGAAGGCCUUCGGGUUGUAAAGUACUUUCAGUCGGGAGGCGUUACCGACAGAAGAAGCACCGGCUAACUCCGUGCCAGCCGCCGCGGUAAUUC